AUUCCCUUUCAGCAUUCGUAAUUUAGUCUAAAUAUUAAUAUAAAUUCAAAUUUUAAGUUCCUUUCUUUAUUUAUAAUUGAAUGAAUAUAACAUUUUAUGAUUUUAGAGUAAAUUAUAAUGUUUUUAGUUAGUGCAGGGAAGAUGACACUGUCCUAUUUGCUUUCUUAAAAUUAAGAUCACGGUAGAUUCAACCGAUGGAGCUCUUUUGUUUUCGUCAGUGUUAAUAAAUAACGGCCACUGUAGCCAUAACACUUUCCGAGAAUCUUGCAAUAUCAUGUUUAUUGAUUGAUUUUGGGGUUUAAGAAUUUGUAGCUGAUGAAGGAGAGGAAGGAGGUCACGUGAAUCCUUAUUAUAAUUAGCUAGGCAAAGGCAAAGCACAUGAAUUCAUAUAUUACACAUCCUCUCCGGUUGAAGAGACAAAUUUCAAUGGACAUGGAUGUAACCGCACGAUUCAUCAAAUGGCGGUGGAAUAAGGAUGCAAAACCAGUUUCAAAAGGAAGGUUCUUCAGAAGGCACUCCUCCAUCAAUAUCAUGGAUUGAGAUUUCCAGUAGCAUGAAUUCUCAAAAGAACUGAUAGAUAGAUUUAUGGGUGGAUGAAGCCAUAGUAAUUUCAAAUUGUAAAGGAAAUUAAAUGACAGACCAAAACCUUCACCUACGUAAAAGUCCAGGCCUUUCGAUCAACCCCACGAAUUUAUAUAUAUUUGCUUCUAGUUACAGCUUUACCUUCUUCUGUAUCAAAAUAAAAUUCUUACUGAGCCCGUUGCAUCAUUUUCUGCUCAAGAAGUUGCAAGGAGAAAAUAUAUACUGCUUAUGU